GGUUCCUAGUCGGAUUCGUUAACCACUGCGCCACGAUGGGAACUCCUUUUUUUUUUUUUUGGUCAUGCCCAUGGCAUGUGGAAGCUCCCAGGUCUAACCUGUGCCACAACAGUGACCCAAGCCACAGUGGUGAGAAUGAUGCAUCCUUAACAACUAAGUCGCCAGGAAACUCCCUAGCUCCAUUUCUUAAGGUCACAUUGAAGGCCAGUGAAAUGAUCUGGCCCUAUAGCAGUGUCUACAUAAUUUUCCUCAAACCUUUAAAGUUUUCUUUAGAGUGUAUCUGAGUAUUUAGAGAACAUCAAGCUUUCUAGGGAAAAAAAAAAUAUCUGAUUGCUGUUGUACAGUCCUACAUGCUUGAAAGUAUGAUUUGGUCUUUCAUUCAUGCGCAAUGGAUCUUGGGCUGUAGGCACCUUGGAGAUUCAACCUCAGCCUGGUUAUUACUCUAGAUGUCCAGGCUUUAGCAUCAGCCUGGCCAUGUUCUGGCUGGUUUGGCACAGUCUUAACAAUGAUCAAAAAUAACACAUAAUCAUAGACUGCCUCCUGGAAUAUCUUGAUUUUAUGCAUCAUAAUGCAAUGAGUUCUAUAUACUUAAGCAAAAGAUUUUAAAAAUUUAAAGCAUGCAGUACAAGUCCACAUAGUCUCGCUUCCACUGAGCAGUGCUGAACAUGCAAUUACAUUUUGAACAAUAGGCAUUCAUAAAUCAGGCAGCAUGCUCAUGAGACGAAUAUCCUCUAAUUAAAUAAAAGGCGAAUCAGUGUUUCUCAGUGCAGGGAUUGUUGGUGGGAUUAAAGGAUUGUUCUCAAGCCCAGCACACAUUGUGAGGGCCCUGGCUGACUGCCUGAGGGCUCUGCAGACCCCACCUGCUGAGAUGUCCUGAGGCCAAAUCAGUGAGGAUUAAGGUAGACCUUGACCAUGGCUCCUACUUGGGUUCAACUCUCAUCUUCUCAUCUUCUCAUCCUCAGGGUCACUGUGUAGGCUGUACAGCUUGGGUGCUCUGCAGAGGUCCUGGCUGAGAAAGAGCCAGGGCAGAAAUUCAGUCCAUAGGCUGGUGCCAAAGCCAUACCCCUUGGUUCUGGGCUCUAUGGCAAAGGAGUGCCUUCUUCUAAUUCACUUAAAGAUGUUCUCUGGGAGUUCUCUGGUGGCACAGUGGGUUAAGGAUCUGGCAUUGUCACUGCAGCAGCUUGGGUUCCAUCUCUGGCCUAGGAACUUCCACAUGUAGCAAGGGAGGCAAAACCAAAAACCAAACCAAACAAAACAGGAGUUCCCAUCGUGGCUCAGCAGAAACAAAUCUGACUAGCAUCCAUGAGGAUGCAGGUUUGAUCCGUGGCCUCUUUCAGUGGGUUAAAGAUCCAGCAUUGCUGUGAGCUGCGGUGUAUGUAGGCCACAGACAAGGCUCAGAUACUGCUUUGCUGUGACUGUGGUGUAUACUGCAGCUGCAGCUCUGA
rnacentral:lncRNA from 1 species